UACGUAGGUGGCAAGCGUUGUCCGGAUUUACUGGGUGUAAAGGGCGUGUAGCCGGGCUUACAAGUCAGAUGUGAAAUCCCGGGGCUCAACCCCCGAACUGCAUUUGAAACUGUAGGUCUUGAGUAUCGGAGAGGCAGGCGGAAUUCCUAGUGUAGCGGUGAAAUGCGUAGAUAUUAGGAGGAACACCAGUGGCGAAGGCGGCCUGCUGGACGACAACUGACGGUGAGGCGCGAAAGCGUGGGGAGCAAACAGG
rnacentral:rRNA from 1 species